rnacentral:rRNA from 1 species
UUGCACCAAACCUUUUGCGUUUGGUUACUCCGGUUCGAGGGUCGGCAA